AAAUCGGGACUCACUCCAAACCAAUGUGACGUUACCAAACUGUUGCCUCGGCGGGGUCACGCCCCGGGUGCGUCGCAGCCCCGGAACCAGGCGCCCGCCGGAGGAACCAACCAAACUCUUUCUGUAGUCCCCUCGCGGACGUAUUUCUUACAGCUCUGAGCAAAAAUUCAAAAUGAAUCAAAACUUUCAACAACGGAUCUCUUGGUUCUGGCAUCGAUGAAGAACGCAGCGAAAUGCGAUAAGUAAUGUGAAUUGCAGAAUUCAGUGAAUCAUCGAAUCUUUGAACGCACAUUGCGCCCGCCAGUAUUCUGGCGGGCAUGCCUGUCCGAGCGUCAUUUCAACCCUCGAACCCCUCCGGGGGAUCGGCGUUGGGGAUCGGGACCCCUCACACGGGUGCCGGCCCCGAAAUACAGUGGCGGUCUCGCCGCAGCCUCUCCUGCGCAGUAGUUUGCACAACUCGCACCGGGAGCGCGGCGCGUCCACGUCCGUAAAACACCCAACUUUCUGAAAUGUUGACCUCGGAUCAGGUAGGAAUACCCGCUGAACUUAAGCAUAUCAAUAAGCGGAGGAAAAGAAACCAACAGGGAUUGCCCCAGUAACGGCGAGUGAAGCGGCAACAGCUCAAAUUUGAAAUCUGGCCCCUCCGGGUCCGAGUUGUAAUUUGUAGAGGAUGCUUUUGGUGAGGUGCCGCCCGAGUUCCCUGGAACGGGACGCCACAGAGGGUGAGAGCCCCGUCUGGCUGGCCACCGAGCCUCUGUAAAGCUCCUUCGACGAGUCGAGUAGUUUGGGAAUGCUGCUCAAAAUGGGAGGUAUAUGUCUUCUAAAGCUAAAUAUUGGGCCAGAGACCGAUAGCGCACAAGUAGAGUGGAUCGAAAGAUGAAAAGCACCUUUGAAAAGAGGGGUUAAACAGUACGUGAAAUGUGUUGAAAGGGGAAAAGGGAUUGCGUGUUUUUUUUGGGUUGGG
rnacentral:rRNA from 1 species